rnacentral:lncRNA from 1 species
AAGACACUGUGUAUACUGGGCACUGAGGAGAAUUCACGGGUUCCCAUAUGUGGGGAAGGCUUUCUGGGAGGUGACCCAUUGCCUGCAUGGCACAGCUCCAGAAACAGUUGAAAGAUUUGAUCCCAUUUAACUGCGAGUUCCAUUCAUUCCACCUGGUCAAGGGGAGGACUUAUGAGAGUUGGGAGCUUGGAAGGCAACCUGAUAUAGAGCUGGGGUUGACAAACUAUGACCCGAGGGCAAAUCCAGUCAACUGUGUUUGUACAGCUCAUGAGUGAAAGCUGCACAGGAAGUUCCUGCAGACAAUGCACGCGGCCCAGGAAGGCUCGGCAGUGUGAUUCUCAGACCUGAGAGAGUACGGCCCCUCUUCAUCUAUGAUCAUGCAGCUUGUAUUCUGAAGACCCAGGAAAGCCAGUGGUGUUGUUCCAGGCCAAGCCUGAAGGCCUGAAAAGCAGAGGAACCAAUGGCGUAACUCCCAGCCUGAGUAUGAAGGCCUGAGAACCAGGAUCACCAAUGACGAAGAACAGAAGAUGGAUGUCCCAGCUUGAGAAGAAAGAUCAAGUUCAUUCUUUCUCUGUCUUUUUGCUCUACCCAGGCCCUCAAUGGAUUGGAUGAAGUCCACCCACAUUUGUGAGGGCUAAUCUUCGUUACUCUGUCUACCAAUUCAUUGUUUUCUUCAUUACUCAUCAAUAAUGUCUUACCAGCUGUUUGGGCUUCCCUUAGCCAGCCCAGUCAAAUUGAUACAUAAAAUCAGCCAUCACACCACCUCUUUUUUUUUUUUUGAGACGGAGUGUCACUCUGUCACCAG